rnacentral:rRNA from 1 species
GACGAACGCUGGCGGCGUGCUUAACACAUGCAAGUCGAACGGAAAGGCCCUGCUUUUGUGGGGUGCUCGAGUGGCGAACGGGUGAGUAACACGUGAGUAACCUGCCCUUGACUUUGGGAUAGCUUCAGGAAACUGGGGCUAAUACCGGAUAGGAGCUCCUGCUGCAUGGUGGGGGUUGGAAAGUUUCGGCGGUUGGGGAUGGACUCGCGGCUUAUCAGCCUGUUGGUGGGGUAGUGGCUUACCAAGGCUUUGACGGGUAGCCGGCCUGAGAGGGUGACCGGCCACAUUGGGACUGAGAUACGGCCCAGACUCCUACGGGAGGCAGCAGUGGGGAAUAUUGCACAAUGGGCGGAAGCCUGAUGCAGCAACGCCGCGUGCGGGAUGACGGCCUUCGGGUUGUAAACCGCUUUCGCCUGUGACGAAGCGUGAGUGACGGUAAUGGGUAAAGAAGCACCGGCUAACUACGUG